GCCUGGGUGGCUCAGUUGAGCGUCUGACUUCGGCUCAGGUCAUGAUCUCCCGGUUGGUGGGUUCAAGCCCCGCGUCAGGCU
rnacentral:tRNA from 1 species